GCCCGGGUAGCUCAAUCGGUAGAGCGUGUGGCUCUUAAAUACCUAUGAAACCUCAAGGUCGCGGGUUCGAGCCCCGCCUCGGGCU
rnacentral:tRNA from 1 species